rnacentral:lncRNA from 1 species
CAGGAAUGUCACCCAGGCACUACAUCCAGGAGUCUCAGGUGCCACUGGGUUCCCAUCCUCAGUGAGGCAGAGCUGGGAGAAGGCACGCAGCAUUCAAAUUUCCUUCAAGUCACUUGCUUAAGAGCCGUCUGUUCAGGUUAUCGGAGUCUCCCUAUUCAUGGGAUGAGUGUCCACAACAAACUCCACAAUCCUGUGUCUGCUCAUUGAAGUGAAAACAAGCUGGAGGAUUAAAGCAAAACUAUGCUGUUCCCCAGAGACCCUUAUGUCUUCAACUGCUCUCCAUAUAUCUUCUUCCCAACUUCAACGUGGGGAAGUGUAUAAUCUUACAGCGAAGAUCAUGUUCCAGACCAGCAGCAUCAGCAUCACCCAAGAACGUACUACAAAUGAAGAAUCUCCGGCCUGCUGAAUCAGAAAGUGCAGCUUCGAUGAGCCCCCCGCUGAUUUACUUGGGGAAGAGAACUUCUUAUCUAUCUCGACUGAACAUGGCAUUAAAUCUGUUUUCAGAAUUACCUGUCCUAGAUUUUUCUCCAUCCUUGUUUUCUCUGGCUAUACUCAAAACAGAAUCUUCCUCAUCACUUGUAGCCUGAAUGGAAUUUGAAACAAAAUAA